rnacentral:lncRNA from 1 species
UGUUAUGUAGACUACAACUUUGAACUAUUAGAUCACCAUAAAAUCAAUCAGAACCCUUAGGUUUUUAAGCUACAAGGUGCCUACUCGGAGCUGACUGGGUUUCUGGGUUACCCAAAAAACCCAAAACAGUCCUGAAAACGGUUUUAACGACUUAGAUCUUGCAUUUGAUUUGUUGUAUAACCAAUCUAAUUGUGGGAAAGUGUAAUAUUACAUUGGUACUACGAUCUAGAAACAUUGGAUGGCCUAGAUCAUGAUUUAACAAAGAAUUACAUUAGGUCAAACUGAG